UACGUAGGGUCCGAGCGUUGUCCGGAAUUAUUGGGCGUAAAGGGCUCGUAGGCGGUUCGUCACGUCGGGAGUGAAAACUCGGAGCUUAACUCCGAGCCUGCUUCCGAUACGGGCAGACUAGAGGUAGGCAGGGGAGAGCGGAACUCCUGGUGUAGCGGUGGAAUGCGCAGAUAUCAGGAGGAACACCAGUGGCGAAGGCGCCGCUCUGGGCCGUGACUGACGCUGAGGAGCGAAAGCGUGGGUAGCAAACAGG
rnacentral:rRNA from 1 species